AGGUCUCUGACCUAGAGGUCCAGAAUUUAAGUACUCACCCGGGGGAUCAAUGGAUUAAGCCCCAGUCUAUCUGUUCCAAGAUUGUGGUAGGCAAAAAAACCUCGUGGUUAAAAAAAAGUGAAAGAAAUUGAGCCGGGAAAAAUGUGAUCUUAAAUGUUUUAGUUGUGUUGUUUUCCAUUCGCCUCUGAAAAAAGGUGGCGCAUGCUACAUCAGAAUGACCUUUGUCAGUCGUUUUAAAUAAUUUUUGAAUUUUAACAAAUCUUGGCAAGCUCAGUUGAUCCAACUAUGGCCAAUAAAUAGCAUGCCAUGCCAGAAUCAGUUGCAGAUAGAGUAAAAAGCAUCACUCUGACCAAUCAGUGCCCUCCUCUGGGUGCACAGUUGUUGUUUUUUCUUCUUAAUGUUUUUUUUUUUUUUUCAAGACGAAGGACAAGCAAGUUCAAAUGGCUUUUGCCAUAUCUCCAUGAAUUAAUGUUUUUGUUGAUAAAGAUAUAUAUUUUAAGGCUGAAAAGCGACACGAAUGGAAACUUCGUAGUGGAAGGAAUGUUACUGGUGUCUUGCAAAGAUAGAAAAUGUACCUUUGGCGCUUCUCUAUCGCCAUGAUUCUUGGGCUUGUUUGGUAUUUCUCGGACUGCGGACAGGUUGUGGCUCAAAUAGUUUUGUGUUUACUAUUUUGGCCAUCAACCCCUCAUUUCUUCAUAAAGACCGGACGGGAAAGCGGCACUCAAACAUACGAUGUGGCUGAAGACAACUCAUUUCAGGAAACACUAAAGGAUGAACAUUUAGGUUGUGGUGUGACUGAUACAACAAGCACUAAAGCUAAAACAUCACAGGAGACACAGUUUCCCCAUGUGAAGAGGUCUCUUCAGCAAGUGUUUGAGUGUGCCUACGCCCAGCUAGUCCUCCCCUGGUACUGCGUCCCUGAGCCCUGUGACAGUCAGCUCCUGCACGGGGUGCUGUGGAAGGAGUUUGACCAAGUCAUUGAUCAAGUCAUCAGCAGAGGCAAAGACUUUGAUGUCUGCUCAGCAAGUGUGGGCUGCAUUCGCAUCCUGACCCAGCACCUCCAUAGUGCCAAACAGUCUGAUAGAGAACCAUUGUUCAGCUCUAGGGGAGAGGAGGUUGAAGUUCUAAGAGUCUUCUCUGAAGCACUGGUGCGAAACCUUUUCCCUCAGUCUCUAUGGGGACUGGCAGUCAGCCACUGUGCCUUAAAUGAGAUUGUUGCCUUAAAAGUGCUGGACCUGCUGGUGCGGUGGCUAUCAGACCCAGACAACCUCAACCAGCUGGUGGUGAGUCGGCUGGAUGGAGUGACCCCCAAGAGCUCUGUGGAAGAGCUGUGUGAGUCUAACUCUGACGGGGCCUCUCCAGCCGCCCUGGAGAGCCAGACCAGUGAUGCAACACUGGAAGAAACCGAGAAUGCUCAAACCGGUGAUGGCAAGUCCAAAAAGAAAGCCAACAAAUUGAAGGAAGGCUGGUCUAAAAUCCUUGACAAGAUGAAAUCGAAGAAAGAUAAAAGGAAGAAGAUGAAGAAAAAGGAGCAGGUGCUGGUGGUCAGAGCCAAGUCUAUCCAGGAUUGUUCAUCAAAGGAAAGUGAAGGUAGUAGCCGGGAGUGUUCCAUCCAGAGGCAGCAGGACCCCGACAGCGAGGAUGGUGAUCUGGAGAGCUACUUGACCAGCGUACAAGAAGAAAUGAUGGAAUUCAAGCUGUCAUAUGAGAUGUGGCGGGUUGGCCACUGGGCUGUCAGCGUCCCUCAUAUGGAGAGGGAAAAUGAGGAGAUGUGUUUUACAGUUCACCUAGAAGAGAGGGAUAACCCUGAGAACCUUCACUGGGAUGUAAAGAAGACCCAGACGGACAUCAUCCAUUUCUGCAACCUAUGGCAGGACUCUGCUAAUUUACCCUCCCUAUCCGUGUUAGAGGCAAGCACUGAGAGUAACAGCGAGGAUUUUAGAGAAGCCAAAACGUCCCUCAAGGUCUUCUUACAGGAGCUGGUCUCUGAUGCUCUGAUGGGCCACACUCAGCCAGUGUUUCAGUUUCUGUGUCCUCUGGACAAGCUGCUGAGUGAAGAGGAGCAUGUAGGGGGAGUGUGGGGUCUCCUUAGUGGCCUGGCCUACUUCCUGUCUCCAGGGCAAGAGGAAGAUGAGGACAAGCACAACACUCUUCAAAGAGGGACCAAAUCAGAUGAUUCCAACACACCUGAGAAUGCAGACUCAACUGCAACUGAGAAGCUGAAUGAAAACAUUGGUGAUACAAGGGAUGGUUCUCUUUCAGAACCAAGUCCCAUUGAGUGCUGCAGAGGUAAAGUGAUGGUGCCAGUAGAGAAAUCAGACUGUUUGGUUAAUGCAGGCAAAACCGAGGACACAAAAGAGGAAUCGGAGAACCCUGUAACUUCUCACCUAAAGAUGAUCAACAAAGAACUAUCCAGAUCAGAGGAGUGUCUGGCCCAAACAAAAUCCGACAACCCUGAAGACCAGACCGACUCUGUCUGUAGGCCGCGACAUUUCAGUCAAAAUGGAGGCUCGCAAUAUGACCUCGCUGACAGUCCGUCAUGGUGUUAUUUAGUUGGAAAGUCAAAUAAAAAGGAUAAACUCACUUUCAAAAUGUCAGGAGGGAUCCACAGGAGUAGAGUAAAGGACAUGGGGAGUCAGUCAAAAUUAGAAGACUCGCAGUGUUUGAAAAAGAACCAAUCCAGCUGGGAGCAAAUGGAAGCAACCAAAGCCAUUUUUGAUUUGUUGAAAGCAAUAUCUGGUAAUUCCAUCCUCCUGAACAUAUUUGAUGCGAUUCUGAAACCCGUCAUGCCGAUAUUGAAAAAGAAAGUGAAAAGCUUCUUGAAUAAGAUGAACCCAACGGAUGCCCAGAUGGCCUCCUAUAUCGAUAACCUAUGUGACAAACAGUGGCCUGAGGGCUCGCCAGAGGUGACCAGCCCUAAACCCCACCGCAGCAGUCAGGAAAAGAACGAGACCAAAGACCGAGCUCAGCACCUCAUCAAUGCCAGAUGUACAGGAUAUACACUGUUUUUCACUCUCAUCAACACAGCUGCUAGAGUUAUGAUUUUCAUUCUAAGACGGAGAUGUGGGAAUUGUCCCAGUUCACUAACAUCAUGUUCUCCACUAUAGAUUCAAACUAUUUAAUCUUGAAGAAGACUGAUAUGGAGACAGUGUUUAAGCUCUUCCAGGACUGUGAAGAAAACAAGAAGCUGGUCUAUGUGAGUGUUUAGCCUAUUGAGUUUCUGUGGCGAGCACUGGAAGAGAUGUCAAUUUUUGCUGUCCUCAUUAAUGUUUCAGCGCUCGCUCUCUAUAUUUGAUAUUUGUCAAAUGUCAUAAAAAUAUGUCUAGACUUUCUUGUACAGUUUGGUAGAAACAUUGACUCAACUUUUGCUUCUCUUUAUUUUCAAUAGAUGCUGCUUUCAUUCCUUUUGAGAGAGCUUCUGCCGGGUGAGGAUGCCCUUAAUGUGAGUGCCAUAACCCUGCAGAAAGUGAACGCCAACUAACUCAUUUUAAGAUGUUCACAGGUCAUGCUUUUAAAUUAACUGUAGUUCUGAUGUUUUAGAAAAUUAAACAAUUUAUUUGAUUGGUUGUCAUGCCUUAACAGUCCCAUUUAAGUCUACACUUGGUGGGAGUAUUAUAAUAAAGAAAUCUUAUGAUACAUUUCCAGAGAAGUAUAUUUUACCUCAUACAUUAAACAUGCUGUGAAUCAUGCCUAUUAUUUAAAAUGUAUCAUAUGUUGACGUGUUAUGUAUUUGGCAAUAUCAGCACACUAAUGUGAGGUUAUUCAAGUUAAAACAUCCUCUACCGGUGACAAUGGCGUACAUCGUUAAUCUCAGAGGGGGCAUAAAUGUACUUUGAUUUCACUGGUAGUGACACACAGAGCACUUUGAAUAAAAUGUUGAAGUUUUGACCUAAAGGGUUUUGAGCACUUUGAGCACUUUCAUAGUUGAUGGGGAGACGUGUUAUAUCAGAAGCUUUUGAGGAAAGUUGUUAAUAUUUUGUUAUUGGAUUUUGAGAAUUUCCAGAAAUUACAUACGCACCUGCCUUCUAAAAGAAAGCUUGCAAGACACUGAAUGUGAAAAUUAAGUGUCUUGUUAAUAAAGCUAUUUUAUAUAUAUCUAUAUUAGAUUUUCCUUGCUUCUUUGGCUGCGUUUACACAGCAAGCCCAAUUCUGUUUUGUUUUUUAACCAAUUGGCCUUUGACCAAUCAGAUCAGCUCUGAAAAAGAGCUGAUGUGAUAUGAUUGGUCGUAAGACCAAAUCAUGGAGAGAAAAAAGUCAUAAUUGGGCUGCCUGUUAACACAGCCUCAGACAUAUGCCUGGUAUGCUUUAGAUUGUGUGGUAGGUAUAUUCUGUCUUCUGAUUCUUCCAGUCCUGCCAUAUGGGAUUAAUGAGUUUUAACGAGUUUUUCUAUGUUGAGCAUUUUUAUGUUCACAAAAAAAAAUGGAUCAUUAAAGUAACUGUUUAGCGUUUCUAGAUGUCUAUGAAAUAGAACCUUAGAAAAUGAGUGAAAUUGUUUUCCUUCACAAAAAUGUAAGAAUAUUAAAAGGCAGCUUUUCUUUGUUGGAAUACUGUGUGUAUACCCCAUCAACAGAAUGGUGUGGGCGUAUACCGGUUGAUAGAAAUAUUAACCCAUGUAGAUGCCUGAUUGGCCAGUUCAUCCUCUUCAGGAGGAUAACAUCAUCCUCUGAGUAAAGGGCAAGUAUUUUUAAACUGUCUGAGAUGUGGGUUCGAAGUGCUUUGGCCACAUGAGUAUAGGAUGAGUCAAGAACUUUAUUUGGGUAUGAGUUAACAGAAUAUAAACUUAUAAAAGUCAGAUUUCACUGAACAGUUUCUUUAAAGCCCACAUGCAGUCUUUUUAAAAUUAUUUUUAAAUCACUAUGUGCAUGAAAAUAACUUUCUUAUCAACUUUAAAUAUAUUUACAUACACAGCCCUGAUUGGCAGAUAUAAUUGUCUAGACCAUGGUUUUUCAAACUCUUAUCUGUGAAAGUGUUGGUUUUUGCCCUAGCACUACACAGCUGAUUCAAAUAACCAACUCAUAAUCAAGCAUUAACUAUUUGAAUCAGCUGUGUAGUGCUAGGGCAAAAACCAAAAUAUGCACCCGGGGGGGGCCACAGGACCAAGUUUGGGAAGCCCUGCUCUAGAGAAGUGAUUCACAAACUUUAUUUGGUUACUGUACCCCAAAUCACAUUACAUUUGCUCUGUCUGGAGAACCCACAAAGUACCCCCUCAUGUUCAUGUUACCAGUAGGCCUAUGGUCACUCAUGAGUUUUCCCGAGUACUUCCUGUGGAUAGCACAAGUACCCCAGGUUGGGAACCACUGCUAUAAAACCAACCCUGCUUACCCCAUCAAAGAAGGAGGAUACGUAUGCAAAUAAAAGAUGACUGGUUAUUGGUCUGAAUAAUCAGAUCAUAUUGUGAUGUCAUGCUGUGGACCAAAAACUCCAUCUCACCUGAACUGGCUGAAUUAUAACAUUUUUGCUCGAAAAACUCUUACACUAAAAGAGCAUUAUCAACAUUUUGCAAAUUCCAGAGUGUUAUUUCGACCUCAUAGUGUGGAAAUGUCAUAAAAAAAAAAUGGAAAUCACAUUGUUAACUGCACUGCACCUUUAAUGCUAUGCCUAAUGAUGAUACCCAAGUAAUAUUUGGGUAUCAUCAAAAUAGUAAUAUUGAUCUAGC
ensembl:lncRNA